rnacentral:rRNA from 1 species
UACGGAGGGUGCAAGCGUUAUCCGGAUUCACUGGGUUUAAAGGGUGCGUAGGCGGUCUGGUAAGUCAGUGGUGAAAUCUCCAGGCUUAACUUGGAAACUGCCAUUGAUACUAUCAGUCUUGAAUACCGUGGAGGUCAGCGGAAUAUGUCAUGUAGCGGUGAAAUGCUUAGAUAUGACAUAGAACACCAAUUGCGAAGGCAGCUGGCUACACGAAUAUUGACACUGAUGCACGAAAGCGUGGGGAUCAAACAGG